UAUUGCACAAUGGGCGAAAGCCUGAUGCAGCGACGCCGCGUGAGCGAAGACGUAUUUCGGUAUGUAAAGCUCUAUCAGCAGGGAAGAUAAUGACGGUACCUGACUAAGAAGCCCCGGCUAAAUACGUGCCAGCAGCCGCGGUAAUACGGAUGGUGCAAGCGUUAUCCGGAUUUACUGGGUGUAAAGGGAGCGCAGGCGGUGCGGCAAGUCUGAUGUGAAAGCCCGGGGCUCAACCCCGGUACUGCAUUGGAAACUGUCGUACUAGAGUGUCGGAGGGGUAAGCGGAAUUCCUAGUGUAGCGGUGAAAUGCGUAGAUAUUAGGAGGAACACCAGUGGCGAAGGCGGCUUUCUGGACUGAAACUGACACUGAGGCACGAAAGCGUGGGGAGCAAACAGGA
rnacentral:rRNA from 1 species